CCAUAUGGAGGGAGUAUCGACUCCGUGACCCUCCUCAACUCCACCCCUCUGUAUGGGAAAAAGACUCCUGGAGUACACUAGUCUCGAAUCAUUGACCGCAUGUCCUCCACCUGAGAGUCCCAGCCCACUGUACGGGAAUGGGGGGGGGGGGGGGCUGAUCUCUUAAAGUCUUUGCUUGAACAUUUGCUGUGAACCCAGCUAAAGCAAGUAGACAUUAAUAACAUCUAAAUAGAAGAACACUGCAACUCAAAUGGCUCCAGCAAGGCAGGACAGACCUAGCACCACAGAAAAGGAAUGGUGAUGGGGUGGGUCAAGGAAACAUCUUGGUCCUGUAAUGACACCAGGUUAUGAAGAGAGGCCUUACUCAACCAGCAUUCAGUCCUGCAGGGUACUUUCACUCCAUGGCUUACUAUUCCUGUAUUGUGUACCUCCUACCAGCGGCAACCUAUGCAGUGCACCAUAAAUGGUGUCUUUGGAUGGUUCCUCUACAGGCAGUACCUACUUCAUGUGGAUUUUUCCUUAGAGGGUAUAUCAUACUAUUACACAAGUAACCGUUUCCCGAUCUAUUAGGCCAGUGAUGGCUAACCUUGACACUCCAGCUGUUGUUGAACUACGCAUCCCAGCAUGCCCUUCAUCUUGUUAAGCAUGCCCAAAUAACAAAACUGUAGCAGGGCA